GCGGGGGUAGCUCAAUGGUAGAGUUCUGGCCUUCCAAGCCAGCUGUGAGGGUUCGAUCCCCUUCACCCGCUCCA
rnacentral:tRNA from 1 species